rnacentral:rRNA from 1 species
UACGAAGGGGGCUAGCGUUGCUCGGAAUCACUGGGCGUAAAGGGUGCGUAGGCGGGUCUUUUAAGUCAGGGGUGAAAUCCUGGAGCUCAACUCCAGAACUGCCUUUGAUACUGAAGAUCUUGAGUUCGGGAGAGGUGAGUGGAACUGCGAGUGUAGAGGUGAAAUUCGUAGAUAUUCGCAAGAACACCAGUGGCGAAGGCGGCGACCUGGUCCGAUACUGACGCUGAGGCGCGAAAGCGUGGGGAGCAAACAGG